AAUUGAUAAAGGCAAAUUCAUAGAAAUGUGAAUACGCAAAGCCGCAAGUCUAAAGCAUGAGAAUGCUAUGAUGGUUGGGUUGCCAGU
rnacentral:ncRNA from 1 species